AGGGGGAAGAAUAAAGCACAAAUUUACAAACCCUUGGCUAAAGUUUAACUUCAUAUAACUUUUGAUCCGGAGCUCCGAUCGCAGCACCGUAUGCGGCCACGCGACCGCAGUGUCAAGCUCUACAAAGCCCAGUACUCAAUUAGGAUCAAGCUAACCUAGUAGGCUUGCCGAGUUUUGACCCAAUUUUUCGUUGGUAAGGUAGUGAAUAUGUAAUUGUGGAACAUAAUUGAGGUGAUUGAAAGCUUGGAUUGAGUCUUGGUUGCUGAAUUUUGGUGGUGAAGACUUGUGGUCUUGCAUAUUUAAGGUGUCUUUGGCGUAGAGAGAAAUCGGUCAAGGUAUGGUUUUGGUUUCCCGUAUAUAAUAUAUAAUGUCUUGUGAAAACAUAGGCUAGAUGACUAUAAGAUAGGUUGAAGCAUGUAUGUAUGUUAUGAGUUAGUAACCUUAAUAAAAAUAUUGAGUGGUCUUAAAAUGGGUUGGUGAUUGGUGAUUUAAUGAUGAUAUUUUAAUGAUUGAGAAUGAGAUUAUGUUGAUUAUGAAUUCUUGGGGUUGAAAUUCAUGAAUUUGUGUAUUGAUGGGUCACGGAGUAAAUGAGAAUUGGUUAGGUAUGAGUAUGAAUUGGUUGAAUGAGUAUGAGUUGUUAUAUGUAGAAAUAUUGUUGUGUAAUUAUUGAUGAGUAUUGACUUAAAGUAUAUUAAAUUGAGAAUCUUGAAUGAGUUGAGAAAUUGAGAAUUGAAUAGUUUAAAUGGUUGAAUGAUUGAUUAAAGGUUGAUAAGCAUUUGGCAUUGAUUAUAAGUGUUUUGGAAGUAUUUUGGUUGAUAGUGGUUUGGUUUGAAAAAGAAAAUUUGGUAAAAAUAGAGGUUGGUAUUUUUGAGAAAAAAUCUGAUUUUUUACUGAACUUCGGCGGGCCAUAACUCGGCUUUCGAAUCCUCAAGUUUUUCCAAAUUUGUUUCAAUUGAAAAUUGCGUCCGUGAAAUUUACACCGUUUGAAGAAUGAUGAAAAUUUUUUUUUUUACAAAAAAGCUAUACGCGUUGGAAGUUUGGUGUUUAAAUGUAAAUUCUGCAGCAUUAACAGUGUUGAGUUUGAAAAACUAAUUUCUGUGAUGUACAAACAUUAUAAGCUAAUUAUCAAUUGUUUGUAUAACUUAUUUGUUUAAGUGUGCAGGAAAAUAAAUUAAACAUCUUGGCCCAAGGAACAAAUGAUUAAGCCCAUUGUAAAACAUACAUUGGUCCACCAUAAUUAAGCCAAGUCCCAUCACACAUCCAUGAACCAAAGAAAGAUAGAUGGCCCAAAUCCUUCAAGCCCAUUCGGUAACCUAUACUUCCCACCUUCAAAUACUUGAACCCUAAAUUCAUUUCAAUUAAUUUCCUUGAAGCUUCCACUGAAAGCCAAAUCCUUUCUUCUCUCUCCUCUCUCCUUUCACUUCAGUCACGUCAUAGACAAGGAAGAAAGAAAGAAAAGGAAAGUGCAGAAGCUAUGGUAGGUUGAAGAACAAAAGGUUUGUUUCCAAAUCUAAGCAAGAAGAAAUUAAAAAGCUACAACCAAGUAGCCAGUUUUCAUAUGGUCAGAGCAUUUCAAGAAAGUAUCUUCUCUCAUUUGGCUACAUCGAGGAACCAAGAAGAAAUCCACGAAGUCUCAAGCACAAAUCAAGCAACCAUGGAGAAAGUGAAGUCAACUAUAGUCAGAAGCUCAUCCACAGUCCAAAUCAAAACCUGGAGCCAAAACAAAGCUCUACGGUCAAGAUUGAAGAAGCUUGAAGAAAAAGGAUGAGAGAGAAGGGAUAAGUUGCAUUCAACAAAUUCGGAUCUCUCUCUCAUCACUGACAAAGCCGUUGCAAGCUCUGUAAAGAAGAAGAAGAUAGUAUGGACCUUGAACUAGCUUCAACCUUGGAAGAUUCACUCUUCUAUAAUAAGAGUGAACGGCCAAGGGUUGAAAGUAAGAGAGAAAGAACAAAGCACAGAGUUCGGUUCUCAUAGCUUCCUAAGCUUGUUGAUUUCUCCUCCUUCAUGUUGUUCAUUAGUAUUUUCUUUUUCUCAGUUUAAUUUGUCUGAGUUUCAUUGAAAAAGGCAAACAUGGUGAGGUUUGUAAGAAAAAGCCAAUAAAAGGUAAAAGGCAGUGAGUUAAAUUAGGAGAAAAGGCCAUAAGAUGUCUCAGAUUUUCUUUGUACAUCUUUCUGUUUUAUUUCAUAAUCCUGUGGGGAUUCCCUUACAAGUUGGGUUAGCACUUGGCUGUUGAAAGAUAGGUUGAGUCCUAGUCAAAUUUAGAUUGGGUUAGAAUCUGGAUUUGUUCCAAAUAGGAUUGGGUAGAUCCUAGGGAAACAUUGGUGUAUGUAAUGUGUUAAAAAAGUUUUGGUGUAUGUAAUGUGUUAAAAAAGUUAGUGAAAUUCCAUCAUAAUUGUGAUGGAGACUGGACAUAGGCUACAUUGCACUAGGUAGCUGAACCAGGAUAUAUCUGGGUGUUACUCCUUCCUCUCUACUUCUCUUCUAUU